rnacentral:lncRNA from 1 species
GUGGUUAUCACUCCUCCACUCCUCCAAAAAUUAUUGUGGCUCGCAGAAAAAAUCCAGAGAUCUUAGCAGAACAAGCCGCCAAGAGAAAGAGAAAACAUUGAAUGGAUCUUAGAAGAAUUGAACAACUUUAACUCGGUUUGGCCCUAAUUUUAGACUAGGUUUAUGUUUAUAUUUAGACAAUUCUGAUAGUGGUUAGCUACAAGAGCAGAUUGUUUUAUACACCUUUAGUGUAUGCCACGAUACAAAUUUU